ACUGUGCAGAUGUAUUUUUCAAAGUGAAUGGCCAUGAGUCACUAAAUGCAUAUUACUGGGGAUUUCAAGUCGGUUAUUGUAUAUUUUGUUAUGUGUUUUACUGUCAACUGUCCGACUUUUAAAGACGUCCGACUUUUCACGGAUUGACCUAAACAGAUUUUUUUCAAAAUCGCCGGAUUUCCGUCUGUAAUUUCGGCGAUCGACUGAACGCACGUUCGCAUCAUUGCUCCCCAUGAACACGAGGGGCAAUAUGGGAACAGAAAGCACUACCACAGUGUUCAUGUACAGGCAACGUGCGAUCAUCGUGGUGUAUUCACCAGCAUAAAUGCCACAUGGCCUCGAAGUACUCAAGAUGCGCAUGUAUUGAGAACCUCAGCACUCUCUGAUUAUUUGGAGGCCCAUCAUCAUGGUUUGGAAGAUGGAAUUGUGUUGGGGGACAGUGCCUACCCAUGCAGGAAGUUUCUGAUGACGCCUUACCUGCAUCCUGGAUCCCCACAGCAACAGAUGUACAAUGACGCCCAUGCGAAGACGAGAAAUGUAAUUUAUUUUAUGCUUUCCGGUGGUUUAUAGAGAAAUAUCAGUGAAAUAAAAUUGGCAUUCCCCUGUUUUAUACAGUGAAAAAUAACAGUGACAAAUAUCGAUAUUUUUCACUGUUUUACUGUGAAAUGACGUCAUUUUAGACGAAAUGACGUCAUAAAUCCAGCAAAAUUAUCCAGUUAAACUCAUUAACAAUGUAAAUAAACGGUUUAAAAAGCAUAAAAUAAUAAGAAAAUUUGUUGGAUUCGAUGGAAUAUCGAUUUUAUUUCACUCGUGAUGAUAGAAAAUAUAUAUUUUCACUCGUGGCGAAAAUAUUGUUUUCUAUGAUCACUCGUGAAAUAAAUUCGAUAUUCCACCGAAUCCAACAAAUAUCCUCUAUUAAAAGAGCACUCGGUGUACUAAAGCGGAGGUGCCAUGUUCUUCAUGGAGAGGUAUUUAUUAAGAAGUGAUGUGUCAAUAAACACCAUAACAUUUAUGUUUAUCAUGAAAUAUAUUAAAUAUGCACUAUAUUAACUUAUUUUAUUUUAUGCUUUCCGGUGGUUUAUAGAGAAAUAUCAGUGAAAUAAAAUUGGUAUUCCACUGUUUUAAAAAAUGAAAAAUAACAGUGACAAAUAUCGAUAUUUUUCGCUGUUUAACUGUGAAAUUACGUCAUUUUUUCGACGAAAUGACGUCAUUAAUCCAGCAAAAUUAUCCAGUUAAACUCAUUUACAAUGUAAAUAAACGGUAAAAAAAGCAUAAAAUAAAAAGAAAUUUUGUUGGAUUCGAUGGAAUAUCGAUUUUAUUUCACGCGUGAUUAUAGAAAAUAUAUAUUUUCACUCGUGGCUUCGCCACUCGUGAAAAUAUUGUUUUCUAUGAUCACUCGUGAAUUAAAUUCGAUAUUCCACCGAAUCCAACAAAUAUCCUCUAUAUAUUUUCAAUAUGUUAAAUUAUGUUUUCUAAACAUUAGGGUGCGAAUAAUCCAGCAAAAGUAUCAAAAAUAAUUAUCGCAUGUGUAGUGUUGCACAAUCUAGCCAAGGCAUGGGGUGAAAGGGAGGCAUUUCCAGAGGAGGAAGACGCUCAACCUCCACCAAGUGAACAGCUUGAUGGUAACCCUGACGGACAGGCUAUCAGGGAUGCAAUAACUGCAAACUACUUCAGAUGAAGACGGAUGAACACAUCACAGUCCUUUACAACUUGUAAUUGACACGUGUUAUCAGGACCUUUCCCUCCUCAAAGAACUCUCUCUGCGUAUUCAUAAGAAGCAUAUUCUCGUUUUGAACUUCGAUGGCACCAGCAUAAAAUGCCAUCUGUAGUUCCUUUAGUGUCUGCUCUUUCCUGAUUUAUUGAAAGGUGCUUUAUAUCAUUUUUUAGCCAUAAUUAUUAAUAAAUAAUAAGUAAUUAUUACUUAAUUACAAAAUCUUAUUUAUUACGUCAUACAUCUGCGGUGUGUAUGUUGCUUUUUAAAUCUAAUUCAGGUCUAAGAGUUUUCCCAUUUAAAUUUGAUUUCAUUAAUGAUAUUGUUAUCGUUUAACCUACGAAAAAAUGAACUCUUCCAAAAGACUACACACUCUAGAAAAUACUAUGCAUAGAAGCGUGUAAUGCUUCAUCAGUGACAGAGUGAUUUGUAAGCGACCAUGUCGCACAAUGAAUGUGUGUUGUUUCUUGCAAAGGAAAUUAAGAUAAAUUGGAUUUAAUUACCAUCGAGUUCGAGCAGAUCCUGUUGCGCUGCGAACUGCACCUAACAGGAACAAAACUAUGUAUGGAUUAAAUGGAUUUAUGUGAAUAUAAUAUUGAAUAAAAGGUAAGAAUAGUUA